rnacentral:rRNA from 1 species
CGACGUAGUUUGAUCAGUGGCUACGAGGACGACGCUGGCGGCGUGCCUAACACAUGCAAGUCGAACGGAGUUACCCUUCGGGGUAGCUUAGUGGCGAACGGGUGAGUAACGCGUGAAGAACCUGCCUUUCAGUGGGGGACAACAGUUGGAAACGACUGCUAAUACCGCAUAAUGUUUCGAGAGGGCAUCCUUUUGAAACCAAAGCUUUAUGUGCUGAAAGAUGGUCUCGCGUCUGAUUAGCUAGUUGGUGAGGUAACGGCUCACCAAGGCGACGAUCAGUAGCCGGUCUGAGAGGAUGAACGGCCACAUUGGAACUGAGAUACGGUCCAGACUCCUACGGGAGGCAGCAGUGGGGAAUAUUGGGCAAUGGGCGAAAGCCUGACCCAGCGACGCCGCGUGAGGGAAGAAGGUCUUCGGAUUGUAAACCUUUGUAGACAGGGACGAAUAAAUGACGGUACCUGUAAAGUAAGCCACGGCUAACUACGUG